AAUACUCUGACUUCCGAUGGCUCAAAGUAACCCAGAGUUCUACCCUGACCUGGGAUGUCCUGCAAGUUCCCCAGAGUCAGAAGAUAAUUCUCCAAAUGUGCCAACGGUCAAGUGGAAUGCUUCUUAUUCCCCAUGGGAAUGGGAUGCACUGACAUGGGAUGUCUCAUUAGAACCCCAAGGAACUCAGAUUUCGGCUCGUGACCUGAGCCGAAUUCGGACGCCGAACCAGCUGACCCACUCAGGCGCCCCGGUUGUUAAAGGAGGUACCUUAUGCUGCCAUGAUGCCGGUGUCACUCUGGACACUGAUUUUGUAUCUUGUACCCUUACUGGAUUCACUUACCAGUUCUAAGUUUUCCUGUG